rnacentral:rRNA from 1 species
UACGGAGGGUGCGAGCGUUGUCCGGAAUCAUUGGGCGUAAAGGGCGCGUAGGUGGCCCGGUCAGUUCGUGGUGAAAGCGCGGGGCUCAACCCUGCGUCGGCCAUGAAUACUGCCGCGGCUGGAGCACUGUAGAGGCAGGCGGAAUUCCGGGUGUAGCGGUGGAAUGCGUAGAGAUCCGGAAGAACACCGGUGGCGAAGGCGGCCUGCUGGGUAGUUGCUGACACUGAGGCGCGACAGCGUGGGGAGCAAACAGG